rnacentral:lncRNA from 1 species
GGUGAUCCGAUUACAUCCGUUUCCUGAUGGAAUCUCAGGGACGCCCUAAGGCCGUGGAGGGUCUGGCCGCUCCCUCCCUGUGGUUCUGGCCCCUCCUCCUCACUCUGACCUUGCCCAUUUGGCUGCAGCCUCAGGCGGCCUUCCUGCAAGAGCUCGCUGCUGCCUCGGGGCCUUUGCAUGGCUGUUUCCUCUGCCUGCAGGGGCUCGUCCAUUAGAGGAUCGUGUGGCCCCCUCCGUCCAGGCUUCUCAGAUGACAGCUGAGCAGACAGCCCUCCCCUUCCAUUCAGACUGGCCCCACUGCCCCACACUCUCUGCCCUUUCCCUGGUUUAUGUUCCUUACAGCACGUUGCACUCCUGGACACGGCGCAUUUAUUUGCAUUUUGUCUCCCACCGUGAGGUGAGCUCAGGAGGCGGGGGCGGCUUUGCUCCCUGCUGUGUCUGCAGCUCCCACGGGGAGCCCGAUCCUCAGUGAGCUCCUGGGAACACUCGCUGGAUGAAUGAAUGAAGGGGAGCCCAGGGGACUGGGGUGGUUCAUUUAUUCCUCAUCCUCCUGAGGCCUGCGGAGCGCUCUAACAACCAGAGGGCCAAACAGAGGAUGAGGAGCAGGAAGGGGACCCGGGAGGAGGCCCACGAGGUCCCAGGACACCAGGAGAGAGUGACGUCACAGCAGGCGGGAGGCAGCGUGCUGGACAAGGAGGGGUCCACUGUGACGAUGCUGAGAGCCGGGGGAAGGAGGACAGAGAAGUCCUUCAGGAUUAGAUCUGGCACCAGGAGGCCUUUGGUGCCCGGGACAGGGGCAGGGUCUCACCGGACUGUCCAGCUCCACCCCGUCCUCAGGCUGUGUGUCCUUCACAGUAGCAUCUGCUGGGGCAGAGCGAGGGGCCUCUGUCUCUGGGCUCUGGCUCCACAGGCCCUGCGGGAUGUUGGAAAUCAGCCUUUCUCUGGGCUGGGGGAAGAAGGACAGAGCCUCAGCCCUGGGAACAUUGGAGCCCCCUGCGCCGCACACACAGCUCGAAGGUGGGACUGA